UUUUGUUAUAGGACAAUUAAAACCGUUUCAAUACAACACACUGUGGAGUUUUCAUAUCUUUGCAACUUUUUCUUUGGGCAUUCGAGCAAUCGGGGCCCAGAGGUAACAAACACAAACAAUUUUAUCUAUUCAUUAAAUUUUUGUCAAAAACAAGAAUUUUCGUAACUGGAAAUUUUAAAAUAUUAAAAACUUUCAACAACGGAUCUCUUGGUUCUCGCAUCGAUGAAGAACGCAGCGAAAUGCGAUACGUAAUGUGAAUUGCAGAAUUCCGUGAAUCAUCGAAUCUUUGAACGCACAUUGCGCCCCUUGGUAUUCCAGGGGGCAUGCCUGUUUGAGCGUCAUUUCCUUCUCAAACAUUCUGUUUGGUAGUGAGUGAUACUCUUUGGAGUUAACUUGAAAUUGCUGGCCUUUUCAUUGGAUGUUUUUUUUCCAAAGAGAGGUUUCUCUGCGUGCUUGAGGUAUAAUGCAAGUACGGUCGUUUUAGGUUUUACCAACUGCGGCUAAUCUUUUUUUAUACUGAGCGUAUUGGAACGUUAUCGAUAAGAAGAGAGCGUCUAGGCGAACAAUGUUCUUAAAGUUUGACCUCAAAUCAGGUAGGAGUACCCGCUGAACUUAAGCAUAUCAAUAAGCGGAGGAAAAGAAACCAACCGGGAUUGCCUUAGUAACGGCGAGUGAAGCGGCAAAAGCUCAAAUUUGAAAUCUGGUACCUUCGGUGCCCGAKUUGUAAUUUGGAGAGGGCAACUUUGGGGCCGUUCCUUGUCUAUGUUCCUUGGAACAGGACGUCAUAGAGGGUGAGAAUCCCGUGUGGCGAGGAGUGCGGUUCUUUGUAAAGUGCCUUCGAAGAGUCGAGUUGUUUGGGAAUGCAGCUCUAAGUGGGUGGUAAAUUCCAUCUAAAGCUAAAUAUUGGCGAGAGACCGAUAGCGAACAAGUACAGUGAUGGAAAGAUGAAAAGAACUUUGAAAAGAGAGUGAAAAAGUACGUGAAAUUGUUGAAAGGGAAGGGCAUUUGAUCAGACAUGGUGUUUUGUGCCCUCUGCUCCUUGUGGGUAGGGGAAUCUCGCAUUUCACUGGGCCAGCAUCAGUUUUGGUGGCAGGAUAAAUCCAUAGGAAUGUAGCUUGCCUCGGUAAGUAUUAUAGC
rnacentral:rRNA from 1 species